UACGGGGGGGGCAAGCGUUGUUCGGAAUUACUGGGCGUAAAGGGCUCGUAGGCGGCCAACUAAGUCAUACGUGAAAUCCCUCGGCUUAACCGGGGAACUGCGUCUGAUACUGGAUGGCUUGAGAUUGGGAGAGGGAUGCGGAAUUCCAGGUGUAGCGGUGAAAUGCGUAGAUAUCUGGAGGAACACCUGUGGUGUAGACAGCUUACUGGACCAUUUCUGACGCUGAGACACGAAAGCGUGGGUAGCAAACAGG
rnacentral:rRNA from 1 species